rnacentral:misc_RNA from 1 species
CAGCUUUCAGGUGCUUCAAUUCAUUAUGAAGAUCAAUGCAAUAUUAUUCAAGCACCUGAAAGCUGAAACUAGUUUAAUUGAUGAUCAGAAGCCUACUGAUUAAACAGAAGCACCACAAAAUGCAGGUCGGUCUUGAGAACNGCCGCUGGAAAACAAUCAUCUGAAGUAGGAGAGACCACGGAAGCAUUAGCCACUAAUCAAAAUCAUCGGAGAGUGAACGCAAUGCAAAUUGGGAACACUAGGAAUCAACUUGAAGCGUGCAUCAGGCCCAAGGACAAACAAACAUUAACACAAACCACCUACAGUAAUCCAAUUCUAUAAUAGAAGCAACCGUUUACAGCAAGCCAAACAAUUGACCAGCUAAGAAAUCCACCUAUUUCAGAAUUUUCACAAUCCCCACCCACUUAUAACAGCUGCUCUAACGGUACACUAUUAAUAGCUGACCACCAAGUAUCUUCUUUGGCAGGGCUCACCAAGCUUUUGACAGAAACAAAUACCUUCAGAAAACUUCUUUUCAUCUCAAAC